rnacentral:lncRNA from 1 species
GUUGCAGGAAAAUUAAAUGUGGUUUUCCUCAUCAUCGUGAACAACAGGGGUACAGGAAAACUGGGGGAUAAUGUCCCCAUUAGCCUGUUUUCUUAGCACACAGAGGGAGAGAUUUUAAAAAUAAAAUAAAACUACAUCCCAAUUUGAUGCCCUAACCUACCAAAACAAAACACAUGCAGAUUUUAAAAUGUAGAAAAAUCCCAUCAGAGUCAAUUCAGUUAUCCCCCUGCCUCUAACAGGUGUCCCAUAACCAGGACAGAUCACCUGGAUGCCUGCCUGCCCUGAUAACUGAUGUUGAAGGUCAGUUGACCCAUCUCACCUCCUCCAGGAAGCCUCGCUGCUCCAGCCCUCCCACACUGCCAGGCCUCCAACCACCAGCCCUGGCUCUUACAACCUGGACAAUCUUGCUUUUUUCUGGCCCUGGAACUUUGCCCGCAAGACCACGUAAGACACAGUCUUCCCCCAAGUUCUCCCCUUUCCAUUUCUGUGCUGAAAUGAACCCCCCUCAGAGGGCCAGCUACACGUCACCAUCUUUAGCAAAUACACACUGAACACGAAGGCACGAGAUCGGUGCUGGGAAGAGGGAGAGAGAAAAGGUUCCUGUUCUCAAGAUUUUCCUGGUUUAAUAGCAGUAGUGUUUUCUCGGCUAUGUGCAGGGCACAGUUCUGAGCACUGCUUAUGGGCUGACUGCGUAAUUUGCACAAUAAUCUCUGCAACAAGAGUGCUACUGCUGUCCCCAUUCCACAGAAGACAAAAACAAGGCUUCUUUUAUCAGCUAGCAGAACCGGGGUUGAAUCCAGCCAGCGUGCUCCGCAGCUAGUCACAACACUACAGUUUGGCCUUUACCCAGUGAGCAAAAAGGUCAUUUCAAGCAAUGGUGUGUGUAUGCGUCACCAUUCCAAGUGCCAAAUUCAGUCUCUUCUAUAGUUUUCCUUGAAGAGGCCACAGAACAAACCUUAGCAAAGACAGAAAAUGACAACUUUUGCCUCCUCCCAGUUCUGAUCUGCCCUGUACUGGUUUCCUAGCUUAUGCUCCCAGGAAGGCGUGACCUUACCUGGAUCUUGUGAAUGAGUACCUGUCUUUAGCACACCAGUUCUCCACACCUGCAUGACGUUCUCUCCCCUGCCCUGGAGCUCUGGGGGUUCCACCAUGGCAGCAUUCUCCAUAUCUGACUCCCACUCUCUGUCCACUGUGAGGGCUAGGCCAGCUCUUCCCCAAGAGCUCAGCAAUGUGCCCAGCACUCUGCAGACCUGUGUGGCCAGUGGGUGGCUUCCUUUUGGAUGUGGCCAUCCGGUCCCUCCCCACUCAAACUCCUCCUGCAUCUCUUGUCCCUGCACACCCACCACCUCAUUAACCCAAGCCUCAGGAACCACCCUUAGCCCACAUUUUAAGAUGAAAAGUUUGAGAUCUGGGGAAGUGAAGCCAAGCUCACAGCAUCACAUACCUGGGAGACGGUGCAGCCAGAUUCAAAGCCAGGUCUGCCUGGCUCCUGGGAUCAUUCCUUUGGGCAGGACUGAUCAUUGCCUGAACUGGGUGACCUCAAAGGGACUGAGUAGGACUAAAAGGUUGCACUGAGGGCAUAAAUAUGGAUUUGUCAUCAGGAUCUCAGUGAGACAAGGCCGUAACUCCAAUGUGGCUAAGGGAAGGGCCCCUAAAUGUGAGACCAGUGAUAUCGAAUAGCAGCAUUUCUAGAAAUUCCUUUGGAAGAGUGGCAUUUCACUCAUCCUUGAAAGUAAAAUGGAAAUUGAUCUUCUUUGCACUGGAGAGCUAUUUUCCAGAAGCUACCUGAAGGAAGGCCUAGAGCUGCAGACAGCCUGAGCCUCCUCUUCCAGGGCCUUCUCUAACAAUGCAUUCCAGGACAGCCAAAGUCAUGCCAGAGAAAGAAAAAUGAAAAGGGACAAGGCAAGGACUAAUGUUCAAUGAUGCUUACUCUGCACCAGGGGCUUGGUAGAUUUUAUUUUAUUCAAUUGACCCUGUAGCCUAUGAUGUGACAUACACAGUGAGACAAGAUAUUUACCUAAAGCUACACAGACAGCAAGGGGUCGGACCAGAAUUUCAGUUCAGAUCUUUCUGACCACAAAACCUGGAUUCUUUCUAGGACCUCAAAGUCUCCAGUCAUGGAAGGAAGAGACCUGGAGCCACUGUAGAUGAUAUGUCAGCCUGAAAUAUAAGAAGGAAGCUAGAUUUUAAAUCAUUGAGAAAGAGAGCCAAUAUACACUUGGCUAAAGAUAGAGUGAUUAUGUGAGUGAUUAAGGAGAAAGGUACCAUAGUAUAUUUGACCAGGGCUUGAAAAUCAUAUGACAUAAAUUAUUUUACUCAUUAAUGAUCAGUUAAUGAUGCUGUUUUUAAAAUAAUUAAAGCAAGAGCACCUUAAGGCAUUUGAAACUACGUGCUUAUGUUCUAAAUUUGGGGCCAAGUUCAGUUUGUAGUUUGGGUCAUAUAGAGGAGACAGAGGAACCUCCUGCUGCCAGACAUAACAAUAAUCAUAGCUAUAAUAGCUAUUAUCAUAUGUGUUACUAACUGAAAAUGUCUUAAACACACAAACUCAUGUAAUCCUACAAAGUGACUGUUAUUAUUCCCAUUUAUGGAGGAGAAAAUGGAGUCUCAGAGAGGUUAAGUAAACUGCCCAAGGUCACACCGCUGAUUAAGGCCAGAGUGGGAAUUCAAACCCAGGUUUCUUCCGCCAGAGUUUAAACACUUAACACCUACAGCAUAUCCUAGUUUUUACAAAAGAGCUAUCUUAAAGCUUCAAUUUUCUGUUGUCAACCUUUGAACUCUAACAAGGUUAAAAUCACAUGUCCUCCCUAACUCCAGCCCUUUGUCCCCACUGGCGGCCUGCCGAAGUGGAGCUGCAUAGCUGGGUGAGGGCAACCAGACUGAACACAGGAAUGCCUGGAUUCUCAGACACUGUAGAUGCCCAUGGGAAGAGGGAGCACUCAACAGAGUCGCUCAAUGAGAGGCACACCUUCUCCCAGCUCUUUAACAUGAGGAGGAGGCUGAACCAGCUGACCCUAAAGCCCUCCAGUGCUUAGGUCCUGAUGCCUCUGGCCUGCCCUGCCACGGCUGUCCUUGUGGAGCUAAGGUGGACCCUCUUAGCUAAGGGAGUCAAAGUGGAGGGAGUCAAAGCCAGUGACUCGGCUCCUUCCAUAGGCUAAGGGCUCCAGGCUCAGACUAAUACAGAUGCUUUUUGACUUCCGAUGAGGUUACAUAAGUUGAAUGUUUACAAUACUUUCAACUUACGAUGGGUUUAGGUUUUUCUGGACAUCACUAGAUCAUAAGUCUAGGAGUGUACUGAAUGCUAAUUGCCUUCGCAUCAUUGUAAAGUCAGAAAUCCUAAGUUGAAACAUCCUAAGUUGGGGACUGUCUAUAUUCCUUCUUUCUCCCUUUCUAGGGCACAGAGGAUAUUCUGGGCUUUCUGAUCUUCACCCCGGGUCCCCAUGGAUUCUCCAAGAAGCCUUUUAGAUUGGUUGCUCCAACUAGUCCCACUGCUAGCCCCAUUCCUGCCACCCCAGGACACAUUCUGGGCUCAGUUUAUUUACACGUUUGGGGAAGGCACUGCCUGGGUGGCUCCUGCUUCUCUAGCAGGCAGGGGCUCCCCACAGACUCACACACACUAAUUUGUCCUGAUCCUCCCUAUUGCCCUUUUCUAUUUUCCAGGCCUCAGGGUGGAAAAUGAAAGAUGCUUAAGGUCACUGCCCCUCCUGUUCUGUACACAAGCCUAAGCUCGGGAGGAAAUAAUUUGAGGUAUCUGGAAGAAGCAGAGAGAGCAGGGCAGCUCUGAAGUCACUGCGAGGCUGUGAGAGGUCAGCCAGCGCUUCAAAGGACCCCAGGACCUUUGCAUAACCCUGGACUGAAUGGGAAGGGAAAGUCCCAGUCAUGACAGAAACGGAAUUUCCCACCAACUCAGUAGGAGGUUUGGGGUUCAGGGUCAGUUUCAUGGCAGUGCAAACAAAAUAAAGAAAAUGUGAUAUUUA